AAGACUAUAGACCUGCGGAGUACCUGCGGAGGGAUCAUUAUUGAAAUCAAUUGGUUUGGGUUUGUUGCUGGCUUUCUUGAGCAAAUGUGCACACCCAGACCACCUUUUUCAAACCACCAGUGAACCUGCUGUAGACCUGAAGCCAAUCAAACCAGUCGUCAAAAACUUGUUUGGAGUUUGGAUUGCUGUGCAAGUAAUUUGCCAGCUUUGCUUGAAUUCAGGUUUAUGUUUAUAAACACC
rnacentral:misc_RNA from 1 species